GACAGAGGUGCCAAGCGUUAGGCGGAAUCACUGGGCUUAAAGCGUGUGUAGGCGGGUGCCUAAGUACCUUGUGAAAUCCCACGGCUCAACCGUGGAACUGCUGGGUAUACUGGGUGCCUUGGGUCAUCUAGGGGCAGUCGGAACAAGUGGUGGAGCGGUGAAAUGCGUAGAUAUCACUUGGAACGCCAAUGGUGAAAACAGACUGCUGGGGGUGUGCUGACGCUGAGACACGAAAGCCAGGGGAGCAAACGGG
rnacentral:rRNA from 1 species